UCAGGCCUAACACAUGCAAGUCGAACGGCAGCACGGGUGCUUGCACCUGGUGGCGAGUGGCGGACGGGUGAGUAAAGCGUAGGAAUCUGCCCAGUAGUUGGGGAUAACGUGGGGAAACUCACGCUAAUACCGGAUACGCCCUACGGGGGAAAGCAGGGGAUCUUCGGACCUUGCGCUAUUGGAUGAGCCUACGUCGGAUUAGCUAGAUGGUGGGGUAAAGGCCUACUAUGGCGACGAUCCGUAGCUGGUCUGAGAGGAUGAUCAGCCACACUGGGACUGAGACGCGGCCCAGACUCCUACGGGAGGCAGCAGUGGGGAAUAUUGGACAAUGGGGGCAACCCUGAUCCAGCAAUACCGCGUGUGUGAAGAAGGCCUGCGGGUUGUAAAGCACUUUCAGUGGGGAAGAGGGGGGUAGAGGCUAAUAUCCUCUGCUUCUGACGUUACCCACAGAAGAAGCACCGGCUAAUUCCGUGCCAGCAGCCGCGGUAAUACGGAAGGUGCAAGCGUUAAUCGGAAUUACUGGGCGUAAAGCGCACGUAGGCGGUUGGGUAAGUCAGAUGUGAAAGCCCCGGGCUCAACCUGGGAACGGCAUUUGAUACUGCUCGACUAGAGUAUGGCAGAGGCAAGUGGAAUUCCAGGUGUAGCGGUGAAAUGCGUAGAUAUCUGGAGGAACAUCAGUGGCGAAGGCGACUUGCUGGGC
rnacentral:rRNA from 1 species